rnacentral:rRNA from 1 species
AUGAUAGUUGGACUCCGAGAUAACCGAUGGACUGUCACGUGCUUUAUAGACGACCAUACACAUGCUCUGGUGCAACAGGAAGAGAAGGUUAGGUUUUAUCGGUCUCAUCGAAAAAUCCCACGAGAAGACCUCCAAAUGAUAAGGACGUUGCAUGAAUGCAACUUGUCAACCUCGGAUUGCAUGGGAAUCCUUGGAGAUUUUCACGGAGGUGAUCAGAGGCGCCUUGGUUAUGUCAAAACGGAUGUUUCAAAUGCACGGUCCGAAAUGCGGAAAACCAUAGCGUUUCAGGACAUGGCCAUGACAAUUGAAUACUUUGAGAGGCGGCAAGCUGAAAGCCCACAGUUCUUCUAUGCAACACAAGUGAAUAAGGAGACAAAUGAGGUAGAAGCAUUGUUUUGGGUG